GACGAACGCUGGCGGCGUGCCUAAUACAUGCAAGUUGAGCGCUGAAGGUUGGUACUUGUACCAACUGGAUGAGCAGCGAACGGGUGAGUAACGCGUGGGGAAUCUGCCUUUGAGCGGGGGACAACAUUUGGAAACGAAUGCUAAUACCGCAUAAAAACUUUAAACACAAGUUUUAAGUUUGAAAGAUGCAAUUGCAUCACUCAAAGAUGAUCCCGCGUUGUAUUAGCUAGAUGGUGAGGUAAAGACUCACCAAGGCGAUGAUACAUAGCCGACCUGAGAGGGUGAUCUGCCACAUUGGGACUGAGACACGGCCCAAACUCCCACGGGAGGCAGCAGUAGGGAAUCUUCGGCAAUGGACGAAAGUCUGACCGAGCAACGCCGCGUGAGUGAAGAAGGUUUUCGGAUCGUAAAACUCUGUUGGUAGAGAAGAACGUUGGUGAGAGUGGAAAGCUCAUCAAGUGACGGUAACUACCCAGAAAGGGACGGCUAACUACGUG
rnacentral:rRNA from 1 species